AGGACAUGGGAUAGAGAUAAACUUGAGGAACAGAUACACCUGUAUUGUUUCAAUUUCUCUUUGCUUCUGAGUAACCUGGUCACACGGCAUAAGACAGAGCCUCAGAGUGACCACAGUUUUUCAGUUCAUCCUGUCUUUUACUAUAUUCCAAGGGCACAGCUGUGUGGAUAUAUGGGCAGUAAGGGAGCUAACGUUAUCACUUAUUUGUGCGCUAUGACCUGAUACAGAUAGCCACAAGAAGAGGAAAAGGUAGUUCCUGAUCUGCCGGGGAGGGGUGGAACCAGCCAUGACUAAGCAUGUUUAGGUCCACUAUAUAAGACGCCAGCAUUUCCUGUUCGUUGGGCUCUCACUCUAUCACUUUGGUGUGGGUAUUGUGACCAGCUUCCUUAUCGAUAGGUUUUUAAUAAAGUUAAUAUUCUGAUUGGUGAUUGACCUGGUCUUUCCUCAUUAUUGAUUAAAAUAUCCACCACAACAUCUAACCCUGGAUCUCACAUUCACAGUACACACCACUAUGCCACUAUAAAUAACCCUGGAUCUCACAUUCACAGUCCACAACACUGUUCCCUGGAUCUCACAUUCAGAAUGUAUAUUUCAUGUUUGCAAUCAUACAUUUGGUCCAUGUUGAAAUGUGUUUUACUUCGAUAGAGAAUUUCUGCAUUUCAACCAUCAAGGAUGGAUUCUCCUUCCCAAGAACAACGGUUGGCUGGUCUGCUUAUUCAGAACAACUGUGUGGUGAGGAGACAACCAGUGCCGGUUUACCAGAAGCCUCAGCAAGAUGUUUGAAUGACACUGGCUCUCCGAUGUUUGGUCCUCCUCACAAGCUGCAGUGUGAAUUAACCCUCAGUGGCAUUCAAGGAAAUAUCUCCAGCAGUUCAGGUGAUUUAGCACAGCUAGCCUUCAGUACUCAGAUCCUGACCUCCCAACCAGAGCUGCUAUCAGCUGACAACAUCACCACAGCAGCUCAGAUAGCUAACACGCUGCUUCAGUCUGCAAA